rnacentral:misc_RNA from 1 species
AUGCGAUAAGUAAUGUGAAUUGCAGAAUUCAGUGAAUCAUCGAAUCUUUGAACGCACAUUGCGCCCGCCAGUAUUCUGGCGGGCAUGCCUGUCUGAGCGUCAUUUCAACCCUCAUGCCCCUAGGGUGUGGUGUUGGGGAUCGGCCAAAGCCCGCGAGGGACGGCCGGCCCCUAAAUCUAGUGGCGGACCCGUCGUGGCCUCCUCUGCGAAGUAGUGAUAUUCCGCAUCGGAGAGCGAUGAGCCCCUGCCGUUAAACCCCCAACUUUCUAAGGUUGACCUCAGAUCAGGUAGGAAUACCCGCUGAACUUAA